CCCUUGGUGAAGCAGUCGUGUCUGCUGCUCUGGCUUUUGUGCCGGCUGGGAGAGACUAGGUCUGGAGUUCCUACGGCUCCUUGAGUUUUCUUCCAGGCUCUUGGCUCACACCUUGCCUACCCCGGGUUCAGUGAAUGGUGAGAUACAGCAAGGCCGGAGCCUCUCUCUGAGUGACGAGCCACCCACGCCUCCCCGCACCGCUCUGCUCCUCCCGCGGCUCCCGGAGGGAAGCCGAGGCGCCGCAGAGGGAGCCCGAGGCGACCCUGGAUCGAACCCCAAGCCUACGAGGUUCCAAGACCCCGGUCACCCGGCCUGUGCGCGCCCGCUCGCUUCCCCGGCCCCGCCGCGCGCCGCAGGAGCCGGGCCGGCCGGCGCUGCGUUUCCAGCCGCGUCUGCCCUAGCGCGGCACGUGCUCCCGGCGCGGGCCUGAGAGCGCGAGCGCCCAGGCCGCCGCGCCGCCUGCCGCUGCCGCCGCCCGCACCGCCGCCGCUAGCGCCCCAGCCGCAGCCCAGGCCGCUCGGCGAGCGCGGGUCGCCGGCUAAGAGCGGCCGGCCGGGGGACGCCGGGCUCCGGGCGCGCACCCGCAGGGAGAAUUGCUGCACACGCCGCCCUCAGCUCUGCUGUUCUGCGCGCACCGAGCGCAGGAGAUGAGCUUAAGAUCAUCUUGGGGCGAGGGGAGCCCGGGACUGGAGAGGCCGACUAUGCCCCGCUGAUCCGCGCGGCCCAACUUUCUGGGGGGCUGGCUAGACCGCGACUCCCUGCCUGCUGCGCCGCCAACAGGGGGUAAGCUUGCGAAGUGUCUGUGUGCCUAGAGGGUCCC
ensembl:lncRNA